GUGGGGGAUAUUGCACAAUGGGGGAAACCCUGAUGCAGCGACGCCGCGUGAGUGAAGAAGUAUUUCGGUAUGUAAAGCUCUAUCAGCAGGGAAGAUAAUGACGGUACCUGAGUAAGAAGCCCCGGCUAACUACGUGCCAGCAGCCGCGGUAAUACGUAGGGGGCAAGCGUUAUCCGGAUUUACUGGGUGUAAAGGGAGCGUAGACGGCAGGGCAAGUCUGAUGUGAAAGCCCGGGGCUCAACCCCGGGACUGCAUUGGAAACUGUCAGGCUAGAGUGCAGGAGAGGUGAGCGGAAUUCCUAGUGUAGCGGUGAAAUGCGUAGAUAUUAGGAGGAACACCAGUGGCGAAGGCGGCUCACUGGACUGUAACUGACGUUGAGGCUCGAAAGCGUGGGGAGCAAACAGG
rnacentral:rRNA from 1 species